CCUGCGGGUGGCAGCAGUGGGGAAUAUUGGACAAUGGGCGAAAGCCUGAUCCAGCCAUGCCGCGUGUGUGAAGAAGGCCUUCGGGUUGUAAAGCACUUUCAGUGGGGAAGAAAGCCUUGGGGCUAAUACCCUCGAGGAAGGACAUCACCCACAGAAGAAGCACCGGCUAACUCCGUGCCAGCAGCCGCGGUAAUACGGAGGGUGCGAGCGUUAAUCGGAAUUACUGGGCGUAAAGCGCGCGUAGGCGGUCUGAUAAGCCGGUUGUGAAAGCCCCGGGCUCAACCUGGGAACGGCAUCCGGAACUGUCAGGCUAGAGUGCAGGAGAGGAAGGUAGAAUUCCCGGUGUAGCGGUGAAAUGCGUAGAGAUCGGGAGGAAUACCAGUGGCGAAGGCGGCCUUCUGGACUGACACUGACGCUGAGGUGCGAAAGCGUGGGUAGCAAACAGGAUUAGAUACCCGAGUAGUC
rnacentral:rRNA from 1 species